GAGGAACUCCAACAGAUCCGGCGACGAGAAUAAAACUAGGACGAGAUGGCAGCUUCGCUUAGGUUUGCCGCGAGAAAGAUCUGUGGUCCCGCCCUUGGGCGACCACCGCAGCCGUAUUUUAAGGAGGGACAGAGUCUGCUCUUGCCAAGGAUUAACCAUGGCGGGAGCUUCCCUCGCCGCUUCAGCUCCUCUAAAUCAAGUCCUUUAAACAAGCAGCAUGGACCUCAAUCAACUACAAACACUGCAGGGUCAUCGAAGCACACACCAUGGUUUGUAUUAAGUCACCCCAAUUAUGUACGUAAUAUAUUUUUUGAGACAAUCGGGACGGCUAUAGGAGGCCUUGCAAUACUCUAUGUUGUGGCCCGUACAGAGGGGGGCCCGAUUUUUAGAGAAAAAUUAUUGGGCCUGCCGCCUAAAGCAAGCAAGGAAUAUGAUUAGCCUUCAGAUGACGGCUAUUGGAGCUCACAACCAAGAGGGUCUGAAUUUUCACUGUGGACCUGGUGUUGUUAUGGUGCUCUUUGGCCUGAACAUGAGCAAUUGAGCAUCAGUCUGUUGUGACUAUGUUUAUGUGUCUGAAUAUUUACCGUGGAUCAUGAUUUUGUUAUGGUUCUCAUUGGCAAGCACUUGAUCAUCAGUCUGUUGUGACUAUGUGGCUGAACAAAUUUACUAUGAACGUAUUGUUAUUAUGAUGCUUAAGUACUUUGAGCUCCUGUCAAUAUCCUUUUGGAUUAUUCAAUUUUUCAGAAUUUC